CGACCCUCGGGGCCCCUCCUUGCCUGCAGGGCGGGGGCCCCGGCAUUGGGCCAGCGCGUGUCGCCCACUGGGGCGCCGCGCGGCCCGCAGUCCAGCGGCGGCAGCACCGGCGACGUCCCCUGCGCAGUAACUUACGCUCGCAUUGGUCUCCCGGCGCGGCCCGCCUCGAAACCCCCACAUCUUUA
rnacentral:misc_RNA from 1 species